UACGAAGGGGGCUAGCGUUGCUCGGAAUCACUGGGCGUAAAGGGUGCGUAGGCGGGUCUUUAAGUCGGUGGUGAAAUCCUGGAGCUCAACUCCAGAACUGCCUCCGAUACUGAAAGGCUCGAGUCCGGGAGAGGUGAGUGGAACUGCGAGUGUAGAGGUGAAAUUCGUAGAUAUUCGCAAGAACACCAGUGGCGAAGGCGGCUCACUGGCCCGGUACUGACGCUGAGGUGCGAAAGCGUGGGGAGCAAACAGG
rnacentral:rRNA from 1 species